rnacentral:lncRNA from 1 species
UUCUAUGAUAGUGAGAUUAUUUGUAGUUAAUUAAUGAAAAUGAAGUUUUGAAAUAUUUAAUAGUAUUUACUACAAAGAAUGCCAUGAUUUUCCAGUGACUAGUCAAAUUACCACUAGUCAAAUUUUAGAACCUACAUUUAAAAGUUUAGGAGACAUUAAUAUCAAAGACUAUCUGGAUUUCAAUUUAUUAAUUUUUUUUCUUCAGUUUUUCAUAUCCUUUGGCUAUUCAAGUUGAUUCUUUAUGCCACUGGUAUUUGGUGCCUCACUAUUUAGAAUUUUAAAUUGGCAGUUUACCCUCCAUAUCUUUAAUAGGACAACUUAAUAAAGUUCUUAUGAUGUGGAAAUGUUACCCAAAGACCCAAAUGUUAAAUGAAGAAUUGAUGGCAAGCCUGUGGCACUGUUGGGAAAUGAUUGAACCUUUAAGAGGUGGGCCUACUGGAGAAAGUUGUGUUAUUGGGGGCAUGCCCUUCAAGAGAAUAUUGGAACCCUGAUGCCUUCCUGUCUCCCUGAGUGUUUCUUGGCCACUAUGAGGUGAACAAGCUUCCUCUUCCACAUGUUCCCCCAUGAUAUACUGUGCCGUUGUAGAGUCAACAGACCAUGGAUGGAAACCAUUAAAAAAAAAUUUUUUUUUUUUCCUUUAAGUCUUAAGUAUUUUAUCAUGGUAACAGAAAGCUAAAUAAUGCAAAAAUAAACUGAAAUUUUCUGAAAGUCAAAUGUUUUUUUGUGGUGCUAGGGAUCGAACCCAGGGCCUUGUGCAUACAAGGCAAGCAUUCUACCAUCUGAGCUAUAUCUCCAACCCCUAACAGUCAAUUUUACUCUAAAUAGAUCUUUACUUAUUUUUAGCCAUGAAAUAUUAAGAAAGCCAUUAUCUUUUAUUUUUAUUUUUAUUUAUUAAUUUAUUUUAGUUGUCAAUGGCCUUUGUUUUUUAUUUAUUUAUAUGUGGUGCUGAGGAUGAAACUCAGGUCUCACACACGCUAAGCAAGUACUCCACCACUGAGCUACAACCCAGGCCCAUAAAUACACUUUAAUAUUAUUGAUUUUAUUUAUGUUGAUGAUAAUUGAUAGAAAAUAAAAUUAUCAUAACAGGGCAGGUUUCACCUUAGUGUAGAACUUCAUUCUUUAAUCCCAGAUAAAUCUUCUAAAAAUAGGUUUUAUAUCUUUUCUCUAGCCUGAACAUACCCACCAGUUCCUUCCACUGGUUCUCAUAAGCGUCAAUUUUAGAUUAUAUGUAUCCUGUAUAUUCCACUUAAAUUGGCUGCAUUUUGUGUUAUUCCUUUUAAAAUAUUGUUUAUAAAACCAGGUCCAGUAUAUUCAGUUUGGCCAAAGUACAAAGUAUGGUGCAUCUCUUUUGAAUCAGGUGCUUUGGUAACACAGCCUGAUUGCACUGGUUUUUCUUUAUCAUUAACUUUGUUGCUUCAUGUUGAACUGCUGCAGUCCACUAAAACACUUAAGUUUGUCAGAAAUUUCAAAUCAUACUAUAAAAUCUAGAUUUGGCAGACAUUUAAUAAACACAUAUAUUC